rnacentral:rRNA from 1 species
UACAGAGACUGCGAGCGUUAUUCGGAUUCACUGGGCGUAAAGGGUGCGCAGGCGGCCAAGUGUGUUAGGCGUGAAAGCCCGGGGCUUAACCUCGGAAUUGCACCUAAAACUACUUGGCUAGAGCAUUGGAGAGGGUAGCGGAAUUCACGGUGUAGCAGUGAAAUGCGUAGAUAUCGGGAGGAACACCAGAGGCGAAGGCGGCUACCUGGACAAUUGCUGACGCUCAGGCACGAAAGCGUGGGGAGCAAAAGGG